GGGAGGUGCACGUGCUCUCUGGCUGCUGACCAGUCACGGAACACAGCCUGGAAGGAUCCUCAGAGCUGGAACCUCCGGUAGCCACCGGCCUCUUAUAGGUAUGCUGGGAAGUCAUCUCAACCAUACUACAAGGACCAAGAGUAAGCAUUGGAGUAAUGGCUUCUAGAUGAUGAUCAAGACAGGGUAUUGUGAUGGAUUCAUUGAUGAGUUAGCAAUGUCAGUAUACACCAGUGGAAGAUAUAAUGAUAUCCAUACAGAACCGGACCUAGCAGCUGACCUAGCUUUGACAGGCACUGGUGCUCAUGUGACUUUGGAGAACUUUUGUAACCUCUCUGAAACUCAGUCUGUCCUUCUAAAACAUGGAAUGUGUAACUGUUACCUCAGGGCCAUACCAGAAAUUCAAAUUACACAACAGAGAUGAAAACAAUUGUUACACAAUAUUCUCUCAUCUCAUGACAUGGACUCCCUCAAGUAUCAAAUAUGGAAUAUAGAAAGAUCAAAAGGUGUAAUACCCUCACCCAAGAAACUGAAGAAGGUGAGAAGCAUCAAUAGUAAGUUAGGAGUUUAGAAGGAAGAUCUCUGUGCUGGGUAAUUUUUAUUGUGCACUUGAUGAGAUUUAGAGUCAUCGUGGGGACAGACUUCUAUACAUGUUCACCAUCGAGUUUCUAGAUUAUUUUAAUUAAGGUUGGAAAACUCUCCAAAAAUGUGGGUGCCACUCCAUAGC